GCUCCCUUCGUCUAGUGGCCUAGGACGUCGCCCUCUCACGGCGAAAACGGGGGUUCGAGUCCCCCAGGGAGCGCCA
rnacentral:tRNA from 1 species